rnacentral:rRNA from 1 species
UGUAGCGGUGAAAUGCAUAGAUAUUACUUAGAACACCAAUUGCGAAGGCAGGUCACUAAGAUUUAACUGACGCUGAUGGACGAAAGCGUGGGGAGCGAACAGGAUUAGAUACCCUGGUAGUCCACGCCGUAAACGAUGCUAACUCGUUUUUGGAUUUUCGGAUUCAGAGACCAAGCGAAAGUGAUAAGUUAGCCACCUGGGGAGUACGUUCGCAAGAAUGAAACUCAAAGGAAUUGACGGGGGCCCGCACAAGCGGUGGAUUAUGUGGUUUAAUUCGAUGAUACGCGAGGAACCUUACCAAGACUUAAAUGGGAGUGGACAGGCUUAGAAAUAGGCCCUUCUUCGGACCACUUUCAAGGUGCUGCAUGGUUGUCGUCAGCUCGUGCCGUGAGGUGUUAGGUUAAGUCCUGCAACGAGCGCAACCCCUGUCACUAGUUGCUACCAUUAAGUUGAGGACUCUAGUGAGACUGCCUACGCAAGUAGAGAGGAAGGUGGGGAUGACGUCAAAUCAUCACGGCCCUUACGUCUUGGGCCACACACGUAAUACAAUGGCCGGUACAGAGGGCAGCUACCUAGCGAUAGGAUGCGAAUCUCGAAAGCCGGUCUCAGUUCGGAUUGGAGUCUGCAACUCGACUCUAUGAAGCUGGAAUCGCUAGUAAUCGCGCAUCAGCCAUGGCGCGGUGAAUACGUUCCCGGGCCUUGUACACACCGCCCGUCAAGCCAUGGAAGUCUGGGGUACCUGAAGUCGGCGACCGUAAAAGGAGCUGCCUAGGGUAAAACAGGUAACUAGGGCUAAGUCGUAACAAGGUACCAAUCCCGCGG